rnacentral:lncRNA from 1 species
CGCAGGGUGCGCGCGCGUGCUAGCGUGCGAUAGGGAGCUGACCAGAGUGCUGGGAGCGCGGAUCCCGGGCCGGGAGCGGGAAAAGAGAAACGAGAGGGGCCAGAGGGCAAAAUGGACGCAAGACAGAGAACUCAAGAGAAAAAGAAAAAGAUUCAUUGGAAAGCAGGUCUUUCUCUCGCGGAUUUGUUCACCAGACUUGGCUUUCUUGCACAUCCGUGUGGAGACCACCUUAGGAACAAACUGGAAAACCAGUUAAGAGCACUGCGAACCACAAAGCAAACAAAUGGACAAAGAAUUGGAGAAGAUGCAAAUGGGAAGAACGUCGCUUGGUGUUUCGCGUUACGUCUUGAGCAAUCUGCAAAUUCUUGUGGUGAACAAGAGUAACAGCUCUAAAGUGGUCAG